rnacentral:rRNA from 1 species
AACAGUUGGAAACGACUGCUAAUACCUCAUACUCCUUCUUACUUAAUGUAAGUCGGGAAAUGUUUUUUCGCCAAGGGAUCGGGCUAUAUGGUAUCAGCUUGUUGGUGAGGUAAUGGCUCACCAAGGCUAUGACGCCUAGCUGGUCUGAGAGGAUGAUCAGCCACACUGGAACUGAGACACGGUCCAGACUCCUACGGGAGGCAGCAGUGGGGAAUAUUGCACAAUGGGGGAAACCCUGAUGCAGCAACGCCGCGUGGAGGAUGACGCAUUUCGGUGUGUAAACUCCUUUUAUAUAGGAAGAUAAUGACGGUACUAUAUGAAUAAGCACCGGCUAACUCCGUGCCAGCAGCCGCGGUAAUACGGAGGGUGCAAGCGUUACUCGGAAUCACUGGGCGUAAAGCGCGCGCAGGCGGUUUGAUAAGUUGGAUGUGAAAGCCUACGGCUCAACCGUAGAACUGCAUCCAAAACUGUCAAACUAGAGUCUGGGAGGGGAAGAUGGAAUUAGUUGUGUAGGGGUAAAAUCCGUAGAGAUAACUAGGAAUACCAAAAAGCGAAGGCGAUCUUCUGGAACAGUACUGACGCUGAGGCGCGAAAGCGUGGGGAGCAAACAGGAUUAGAUACCCUGAUAGUCCACGCCCUAAACGAUGAAUGCUAGUCGUCGGGUAGCUAGUCUAUUCGGUGAUGCAGCUAACGCAUUAAACAUUCCGCCUGGGGAGUACGGUCGCAAGAUUAAAACUCAAAGGAAUAGACGGGGACCCGCACAAGUGGUGGAGCAUGUGGUUUAAUUCGAAGAUACGCGAAGAACCUUACCUAGCCUUGACAUUGAUAGAAUGAUUUAGAGAUAAGUCAGUGCCCUUUUGGGAGCUUGAAAACAGGUGCUGCACGGCUGUCGUCAGCUCGUGUCGUGAGAUGUUGGGUUAAGUCCCGCAACGAGCGCAACCCUCGUCACUAGUUACUAACGGUUCGGCCGAGGACUCUAGUGAGACUGCCUUCGCAAGGAGGAGGAAGGUGAGGACGACGUCAAGUCAUCAUGGCCCUUACGGCUAGGGCGACACACGUGCUACAAUGGGCAGGACAAUGAGACGCAAUACCGCGAGGUGGAGCAAAUCUAUAAACCUGCUCUCAGUUCGGAUUGUACUCUGCAACUCGAGUGCAUGAAGCUGGAAUCACUAGUAAUCGUAGAUCAGCCAUGCUACGGUGAAUACGUUCCCGGGUCUUGUACUCACCGCCCGUCACACCAUGGGAGUUGAUUUCACCCGA